CUUCCAGUAGCACCUUAGAGACCAACUAAGUUUGUUAUCGGUAUGAGCUUUCGUGUGCAUGCACACUUCUUCAGAUACAAACUUAGUUGGUCUCUAAGGUGCUACUGGAAG